rnacentral:lncRNA from 1 species
UUGUUUUCUAGGUUUUGUUUAGCUUUAGCAUAUUUUAUUUGUUAUGCUAUUUGAAUGGGAUUUUUGAACCAACUGCAAGAGUCAUUUGGUGGUGCACAUGCAGAUCCCUGUUAGACCUCACAACAGAUAAAGGCUGCAAUUAUUGAUUCAAUGGAUAUGAGGACAUUCACCUUGGUUCUUUUACAAGAAUAGUAUACUUCAGCUAAAUCCAAGAAUGUAUCCACAAGGAACAAGGAGACCUUUCAGUUAGAAAUCCAGAAGAAAUAUGAAGAGAUCUUGGGACAUGGUGGUCAUUGGCUCAUUACUUUGCACUUGUAAAGCAGAAAAUAGAGGCGCUGAAGGAUGAAAUCAGAAACUUUGGUGCGUCUUGAGUUCACGUGAAAAUAGUUCAUGCACAUGGUGGUCAUUGGCUCAUUACUUUGCACUUGAUUGUGAAAAUAGUUCAUGCAUGUGUUCAUGUAUUUGAGUAUUAAUUAAUUGCAUUCUUCUUUGCUGCUCAGUUCUGCUAGUGUUAUUGUAAUAACACGAUGAUUUUAUUUAAAGGGUUAAAAUUUAU